CCUAAAAUCAGAUCGAGAAAAAUCCCAAUUCUCGCCGAAUCAUGGUAUCGUCCGAGGUGAUCAGUGCUCUCGCAAACCCCGUUUUGGGAGUCCUGCUUGUUGGAUUCUUUGUAAAGGUCACACCUAUCGCUCAAGACAUUCUAAAAGACUGGAAACAUACCAACGAGGACAUAGUUGAAGAUUGCAGGGAGCAGAUGAGAAUGAGAGGCAUGACUCUUAAGGUUCAGAAAUGAACCGGUCAUAAUGUGAAUUCGAGGGAGACUACUUUUGGCUUUAUGUAAUAAUAACUACUUCUACGCUUAGUAUUUCUCAUGUCUUAGUUUAGACGGUUCUGUUGUGUACCUUAAUUUAAUGGGAAUGCCUUGUACGAGAAUGAACUUGUCUUGAUAUGUAUCAAAAAUCUCGUUAUGUUUUCUGAUUUGUUUGGUUUAAUAUUGUGUUUUCUGAUGUUUA